AACAAACGCUGGCGGCGUGCCUAAUACAUGCAAGUCGAACGGGGAAAGCUUUCGGGUGAGUACUAGUGGCGCACGGGUGAGGAACGCGUGGAUAAUCUGCCUUAGAGUGGGGGAUAACUAGUCGAAAGAUUAGCUAAUACCGCAUAAGACCACGAGAGCUGCGGCUUUUGAGGUCAAAGGUUUUUCGCUCUAAGAUGAGUCCGCGUAAGAUUAGCUAGUUGGUGAGGUAACGGCUCACCAAGGCGACGAUCUUUAACUGGUCUGAGAGGAUGAUCAGUCACACUGGAACUGAGACACGGUCCAGACUCCUACGGGAGGCAGCAGUAGGGAAUAUUGCACAAUGGAGGAAACUCUGAUGCAGCGACGCCGCGUGAGUGAUGAAGGCCUUCGGGGCGUAAAGCUCUGUCGCAGGGGAAUAACACAAUGAAGGUACCCUGUAAGAAAGGAUCGGCUAACUUCGUG
rnacentral:rRNA from 1 species